rnacentral:lncRNA from 1 species
UCAGUAUUCCUUCCUUAUCCAUCUUGAAUCUUGAUUCGCUUCCUUCGGAUAUCUUCUUUUUCAUCGUUUUACAUUCGUCAUCGUGAAGUUGAGCCUCCUUAACUUUGUCUAAUAGAGUUGUACCAGAUUGCAUCUGAAACAGCUUCUCGUCAAUCUCCAUAGGACACUUUACUUCUAAUUCCAACUUUUCCAUUGCUGAAAUUAACUCCUUCUGUUCGGUCACCUGCAUCAGUUUCUCCUGACCCUUUCUACUUAAGGCAUCGGCAACCACAUUUGCCUUACCCGGAUGGUAUAGAAUCUCACAAUCGUCCUUAAUUAACUCCAACCACCUUUUUUGGCGCAUGUUUAAG